CUAUACUGCAAGUCGAGCGGACAGAUGGGGAGCUUGCUCCCUGAUGUUAGCGGCGGACGGGUGAGUAACACGUGGGUAACCUGCCUGUAAGACUGGGAUAACUCCGGGAAACCGGGGCUAAUACCGGAUGCUUGAUUGAACCGCAUGGUUCAAUUAUAAAAGGUGGCUUUUAGCUACCACUUACAGAUGGACCCGCGGCGCAUUAGCUAGUUGGUGAGGUAACGGCUCACCAAGGCGACGAUGCGUAGCCGACCUGAGAGGGUGAUCGGCCACACUGGGACUGAGACACGGCCCAGACUCCUACGGGAGGCAGCAGUAGGGAAUCUUCCGCAAUGGACGAAAGUCUGACGGAGCAACGCCGCGUGAGUGAUGAAGGUUUUCGGAUCGUAAAACUCUGUUGUUAGGGAAGAACAAGUACCGUUCGAAUAGGGCGGUACCUUGACGGUACCUAACCAGAAAGCCACGGCUAACUACGUGCCAGCAGCCGCGGUAAUACGUAGGUGGCAAGCGUUGUCCGGAAUUAUUGGGCGUAAAGCGCGCGCAGGCGGUUUCUUAAGUAUGAUGUGAAAGCCCCCGGCUCAACCGGGGAGGGUCAUUGGAAACUGGGGAACUUGAGUGCAGAAGAGGAGAGUGGAAUUCCACGUGUAGCGGUGAAAUGCGUACAGAUGUGGAGGAACACCAUUGGCGAAGGCGACUCUCUGGUCUGUAACUGAUUUCUGGAGGGCGCGAAAUACGUGGGGGAGCC
rnacentral:rRNA from 1 species